rnacentral:tRNA from 1 species
GUUAAUGUAGCUUAAUNAAAGCAAAGCACUGAAAAUGCUUAGAUGGAUGCAAGCAUCCCAUAAACA